rnacentral:rRNA from 1 species
AACGGCAGCACGGACUUCGGUCUGGUGGCGAGUGGCGAACGGGUGAGUAAUGUAUCGGAACGUACCUUUCAGUGGGGGAUAACGUAGCGAAAGUUACGCUAAUACCGCAUAUUCUGUGAGCAGGAAAGCAGGGGAUCGCAAGACCUUGCGCUGAUUGAGCGGCCGAUAUCAGAUUAGCUAGUUGGUGAGGUAAAGGCUCACCAAGGCGACGAUCUGUAGCGGGUCUGAGAGGAUGAUCCGCCACACUGGAACUGAGACACGGUCCAGACUCCUACGGGAGGCAGCAGUGGGGAAUUUUGGACAAUGGGGGCAACCCUGAUCCAGCCAUGCCGCGUGAGUGAAGAAGGCCUUCGGGUUGUAAAGCUCUUUCGGCCGGGAAGAAAUCGCAUGGGUUAAUACCCUGUGCGGAUGACGGUACCGGCAUAAGAAGCACCGGCUAACUACGUGCCAGCAGCCGCGGUAAUACGUAGGGUGCGAGCGUUAAUCGGAAUUACUGGGCGUAAAGCGUGCGCAGGCGGUUUUUUAAGACAGGCGUGAAAUCCCCGGGCUCAACCUGGGAACUGCGCUUGUGACUGGAAGGCUAGAGUAUGGCAGAGGGGGGUGGAAUUCCACGUGUAGCAGUGAAAUGCGUAGAGAUGUGGAGGAACACCAAUGGCGAAGGCAGCCCCCUGGGCCAAUACUGACGCUCAUGCACGAAAGCGUGGGUAGCAAACAGGAUUAGAUACCCUGGUAGUCCACGCCCUAAACGAUGUCAACUAGGUGUUGGGUGGGUAAAACCAUUUAGUACCGGAGCUAACGCGUGAAGUUGACCGCCUGGGGAGUACGGCCGCAAGGUUAAAACUCAAAGGAAUUGACGGGGACCCGCACAAGCGGUGGAUGAUGUGGAUUAAUUCGAUGCAACGCGAAAAACCUUACCUACCCUUGACAUGUCCAGGAGCCUGAAGAGAUUUGGGUGUGCCCGAAAGGGAACUGGAACACAGGUGCUGCAUGGCUGUCGUCAGCUCGUGUCGUGAGAUGUUGGGUUAAGUCCCGCAACGAGCGCAACCCUUGUCGUUAAUUGCCAUCAUUUAGUUGGGCACUUUAACGAGACUGCCGGUGAUAAACCGGAGGAAGGUGGGGAUGACGUCAAGUCCUCAUGGCCCUUAUGGGUAGGGCUUCACACGUCAUACAAUGGUCGGUACAAAGGGUUGCCAAGCCGCGAGGUGGAGCCAAUCCCAGAAAGCCGAUCGUAGUCCGGAUCGCAGGCUGCA